rnacentral:hammerhead_ribozyme from 1 species
AUCCAGCUGACGAGUUCGGAAUAGAAGAAACGCGCGUCCUGGAU